rnacentral:rRNA from 1 species
UGGGGAAUAUUGGACAAUGGGCGCAAGCCUGAUCCAGCCAUGCCGCGUGAGUGAUGAAGGCCUUAGGGUUGUAAAGCUCUUUCACCCACGACGAUAAUGACAGUACCGGGAGAAUAAGCUCCGGCUAACUCCGUGCCAGCAGCCGCGGUAAUACGGAGGGAGCUAGCGUUGUUCGGAAUUACUGGGCGUAAAGCGCACGUAGGCGGCGAUUUAAGUCAGAGGUGAAAGCCCGGGGCUCAACCCCGGAAUUGCCUUUGAGACUGGAUUGCUAGAAUCCGGGAGAGGUGAGUGGAAUUCCGAGUGUAGAGGUGAAAUUUGUAGAUAUUCGGAAGAACACCAGUGGCGAAGGCGGCUCACUGGACCGGCAUUGACGCUGAGGUGCGAAAGCGUGGGGAGCAAA